ensembl:lncRNA
CACAAAACGGACAGUUGCAGCCUGAUAUUUCACCAAUGCCCUCAGUGGACAGUACUCGUGCUGCUAAUCACUUCAGUCCAGCAGGUGGCAGUUAGGCUCCGUUAAGCUUCUCCACCACCCACUAAACCACCAGUAAAGAAGAAGAGUAAAUGAGAAGGAGGCCUAAUCCUAGUCCCUGUACACCCUAAACCCUGAGCCCUCAGGGACUUAACUGACACCACCUGGUUUCCAUGGAUCAUGGUUCUAUCUGAACCCUGUUCCUGCCUCCUGCCAUGACCCUGCUGACACCUGCUGCGGAUAUCAUCAUUAUUAUUUUAAAUAUUAAUCACAUUUACUAUUACUCUCAUC